rnacentral:rRNA from 1 species
GACGAACGCUGGCGGCGUGCUUAACACAUGCAAGUCGAACGGAAAGGCCCUGCUUUUGUGGGGUGCUCGAGUGGCGAACGGGUGAGUAACACGUGAGUAACCUGCCCUUGACUUUGGGAUAACUUCAGGAAACUGGGGCUAAUACCGGAUAGGAGCUCCUGCUGCAUAGUGGGGGUUGGAAAGUUUCGGCGGUUGGGGAUGGACUCGCGGCUUAUCAGCUUGUUGGUGGGGUAGUGGCUUACCAAGGCUUUGACGGAUAGCCGGCCUGAGAGGGUGACCGGCCACCUUGGGACUGAGAUACGGACCAGAAUCCUACGGGAGGCAGCAGUGGGGAAUAUUGCACAAUGGGCGGAAGCCUGAUGCAGCAACGUCGCGUGCGGGAUGACGGCCUUCGGGUUGUAAACCGCUUUCGCCUGUGACGAAGCGUGAGUGACGGUAAUGGGUAAAGAAGCACCGGCUAACUACGUG